UUCCUUACACUCUUAAAAAUUAGCCCUUGAGAAGUCAAAAACCCUAAUCCAGAUCUACCUUUGUUAUCCCCAUCUAGUUUGAACUCGAAUCAGCUCAUGAUUCAUCGAACCAAGGUUGUCCCCUACCACCAUUUCUUCUACGAGGUCCUCACUGCUCCUC